rnacentral:lncRNA from 1 species
AGGAGAGAGGAGCCUGCAGCUUGAGGAAGUUCAGAGAAAACCCAGCCCUUUCACCAAGCUGUGAAGAAGCCAAGCAGGUCUCAUGGAAAAACCACGUAUAGGUGUUUCUGCCGAGAGGCCCAGCCAAGAUCCCAGCAACAGUCAGCAUCAACCACCAGACAUAAACCGGCCAGGUGGAGGAUGCAGCCGGGCGUGGUGGCUACAAGGAAGUGCCCUGGUGUUAAGAACUCAGCCUCUGAAACUCGCCGCCCAACUUCGAGUCAGCGACGUACUUUUGUUGUCCCGGCCUUAGUAUCCCCGCUGCAAUAAGAGGUACUCAGCUCAAACCAUCUGGACGAGGAUUAAACGAGUUCAUAUCCAUAAAGGACUAGAACAGGUCCUGGCACCACGUAAACAUUCUUAUCAUCAAGGGUUAAAAAACAAAGUUCUCUAAGAUUUCGAAA